GGAUGUAAGGGUGACCUGGCCAUGACAUCUGCCACUCUACUGAUUGUCAGGGUUAACUAGCUGACCUGGCGGGCUUUAUGAUGUCCUCCUCUGUGUCACUGCUCAACAACUGUCCUUCCCAAAUCUGUGUGCUCAGGUGUACCCUCACCAGCUGAGGGCCCUUCUUUAAUUGAGCGCAUGCAGAUACUGCUCCCUGAGGAAGCCUCCUCACAAGCUCUUAAGAACCAUGCAGCGNNNGUGGGGGAUGGGGGGUGGGGGACUUUUGGGAUAGCAUUUGAAAUGUAAAUGAAGAAAAUAUCUAAUAAAAAAUGU
ensembl:misc_RNA Gm25925 predicted gene, 25925